rnacentral:rRNA from 1 species
AACGAACGCUGGCGGCAGGCCUAACACAUGCAAGUCGAGCGAGGACUUCGGUUCUAGCGGCGGACGGGUGAGCAACGCGUGGGAAUGUGCCCUUCUCUACGGAAUAGCCCUGGGAAACUGGGAGUAAUACCGUAUACGCCCUAUUGGGGAAAGAUUUAUCGGAGAAGGAUCAGCCCGCGUUGGAUUAGGUAGUUGGUGGGGUAAUGGCCUACCAAGCCGACGAUCCAUAGCUGGUUUGAGAGGAUGAUCAGCCACACUGGGACUGAGACACGGCCCAGACUCCUACGGGAGGCAGCAGUGGGGAAUCUUAGACAAUGGGGGCAACCCUGAUCUAGCCAUGCCGCGUGAGUGAUGAAGGCCUUAGGGUUGUAAAGCUCUUUCAGCUGGGAAGAUAAUGACGGUACCAGCAGAAGAAGCCCCGGCUAACUCCGUG